AAGGAGCGGUGGACUGAUUACGAGUGAGAAUGUUGGCAUUAGUAGCGAGAUGUAGGUGAGAAUCCUACAGGCCGAAUAUCUAAGGUUUCCUCAGGAAGGCUCGUCCGCUGAGGGUUAGUCGGGACCUAAGCCGAGGCCGAAAGGCGUAGGCGAUGGACAAUCGGUUGAUAUUCCGAUACCACUACCAUCGUUAUUAUCGAGGGUGUGACGGAGAAGGAUAGUGUGUGCUAGCGAUUGGAAAUGCUAGUCUAAGCGUUUAGGGAGUUACGGUAGGCAAAUCCGCUGUAACAAUUCUGAGGCGUGAUGGGGAAGGUCAUUAAGACCGAAGUACAUGAUUCCAUGCUUCCAAGAAAAGCAUCUAGAGAGAGAAGUAGUGCCCGUACCGCAAACCGACACAGGUAGAUGAGGAGAGAAUCCUAAGGCCGGCGGAAGAAUUGCAGUUAAGGAACUAGGCAAAUUGACCCCGUAAGUUCGCGAGAAGGGGUGCCUGCGAGAGCAGGCCGCAGAGAAUAGGCCCAAGCAACUGUUUAGCAAAAACACAGGUCUCUGCUAAAGCGUAAGCUGAUGUAUAGGGGCUGACGCCUGCCCGGUGCUGGAAGGUUAAGGGGAACACUUAGCGCAAGCGAAGGUGUGAACUUAAGCCCCAGUAAACGGCGGCCGUAACUAUAACGGUCCUAAGGUAGCGAAAUUCCUUGUCAGGUAAGUUCUGACCCGCACGAAUGGCGUAAUGACUUGGGCACUGUCUCAACUGCAAAUCCGGCGAAGUUGUAGUGCGAGUGAAGAUGCUCGCUACCCGCGAUUGGACGGAAAGACCCCGUAGAGCUUUACUGUAGCUUAGCAUUGAAUUCCGGUAUUGUCUGUACAGGAUAGGUGGGAGACUGGGAAACUAGGGCGUCAGCCUUAGUGGAGUCAACCUUGGGAUACCACCCUGACAGUACUGGGGUUCUAACAGGACGCCAUGAAGCUGGUGACUGGACAUUGUUAGGUGGGCAGUUUGACUGGGGCGGUCGCCUCCUAAAAAGUAACGGAGGCGCCCAAAGGUUCCCUCAGAACGGUCGGAAAUCGUUCGUAGAGUGCAAAGGCAGAAGGGAGCCUGACUGCGAGACCCACAAGUCGAGCAGGGACGAAAGUCGGGCUUAGUGAUCCGGUGGUACCUCGUGGGAGGGCCAUCGCUCAACGGAUAAAAGCUACCUCGGGGAUAACAGGCUGAUCUCCCCCAAGAGUCCACAUCGACGGGGAGGUUUGGCACCUCGAUGUCGGCUCGUCGCAUCCUGGGGCUGUAGUAGGUCCCAAGGGUUGGGCUGUUCGCCCAUUAAAGCGGCACGCGAGCUGGGUUCAGAACGUCGUGAGACAGUUCGGUCCCUAUCCGUCGCGGGCGUAGGAA
rnacentral:rRNA from 1 species